UUGCCAGCUGUGCGUGGGCUACCCUCUCCCUCAGAGUCACUCGUCUUUGUGAAUGAGCCAAGGAGCUGGGAGGAUGCUCGGAGUUACUGCAGAAAGAAGUACUCUGACCUGGCCACUCCCGGGAGUGUGGAGGAGAUGAGCAGACUUCAACAGAGCGUCGAGCCCAAGUACCGUGGCGAUGUCUGGAUUGGCCUGAAGGGGGCAGCCAAUCCAAGUCCUUGGUGGUUCCUGUGCUAUGUUGAGAAUAGUUCUCCCAAGUAUGUGAUGAUCAGGGAAACAAAGACAUGGAUUGCUGCUCAAAGCUACUGCAGGGAGCACUACAUGGAUCUGGCGAGCAUUGAAAGUCAAGAAGAUGAGGAGCUGGUCUGGAAUGUUACUGAAGGACACCCUGUUUGGAUUGGCCUCUUCAAGGACUCCUGGGAGUGGGUAGGGCAAAGGAGAUCAUCGUUCCGGUACUGGGCAGCAGAGACAGAUGUCCGGUACUGGUCAAGACUGUGCAGCGGUGCGGAACAGAAGGUGGACGGUGGUAUAGACGCCUGUGCAGUGUGACAAAUCCUUUUGUCUGCCAGUAUUCUGAAAAAAGGCAGUUCGGUAGAUUGGUAAUGGAGGCUAAAGAUGGUGUGGACUUGAACGAUCCUAAUGUGAACAAGGCGUUGUUGGAACAGGUUUGUUUCAUCUCCAAUUAGAGUGAGCUCAUUUUGUCCUGUGCAACAGACAUGCUUCUUUUGAUAUUACAUUUUUUUUCCCUUUCGUCUGUCAUUUUAGAUUAAGGCAUAAUUGAAGGAACAAAGACUUCCAGAUGAUGCUCAUCUACAAUGGCGGGAGAAUGAAGAUGGCAUUUUUAAGAAGGUGGAGAGAAAGAUGAGAGUAGCUGAUGAGCUGUAAGGCUUCACCUGCUCUCAGCCACAAAGCCUGGUGAUCCUCCUUACAACACGGAAAAGCUUGAAAGAGAAAUGCCUCUGGUCAUCAGCAACAUACAUACAACACGUGAUUAUCUUUUCCUCAGGUUGAUUUCAAUUGUGGUGUGGACAUACUGUAAUGUAGUCUAAGGUAUUGCAUAUUUUUGCUCCUACAUAUGAAAUACAAUUACAGGUGUGAGGAAAAAAUGAAUGGGUACGUAUUGCAGAGGUAUUGUUUAAUCAUUAGAAUCGUGUCAGUUAAAGCCUAUGUUAAACACGUUUAAAAAUACUUCUCAGAAACUAAUCAACUUACUUUAAUGUCUAACAAGAGGGUUUUGCUCCAGAUCACUGAAAGUCAUUAAUUAUGGCUGUAGAACCUUAGCAGUAGUGACUCUGAGGCUCUGAGAAUAAAGGUUAGGACAGAGCUAAGAGAAAAGUAAUAGUCUGAAUCUGAAUGAUGUGGGCAGUCCUAAUAAUUUUGCAAUCUAGCUUGGAUUACUCACAUGCAAAUAAUCUUCUCCUGUGUCAAUACGUGACUAAAACUAUGUGUUUGUCCAAGCCUAAAUAGAUAUACAUUUAUUCUUAUUAUUGCAUAGUUCUGAUGCAUAUGUUUGUGUGUCACAGCUGAUGUGUAUGUGUUUUUUUGAGUGUCUGUAAUACAGUAACGUCUGAAAAUAAAAACAAUGGAAAUGACCUGAAAGUUUAGCAAUGGAUGGAUACAUAUCUUU